GUUUCUAAACUACCGAAAGAGCAUGACAAACCAGUCAAACCGGUUUCAGACGACAAGUGAUACACGCGUAGUAGAGGGGCGUGGCUUGGUAAAGGAUUGGGCGGAGACUGGGAAGAGUCUAGUAAUGUUUUUAUUACUAGUAUGAGAAAAACUAAACCACUGAAUAUAAAACAGGAGGACAUGUCCUGGAGCCACGCCCACUCCGGCACUAGUUACCCCAUACAGUGUAUACUCCCUCCAGCUGAAGGUCAUGUGACCAGUGACUCUGCCCUAUUGUACCCCCACUAUAAUAACGGAUUGGUAAUAGUGUAUUAUGAUAAGAAUGGGAAUGGAAAAACAAGGAAUAAAGAACAGGAACCAAAAACCACAAAUUUAAUUGUCAUUUAUAAGGUUUCUGAGAGAUACUAUUCAUUAGCCAAUUUUGUCGUGUCGGAACUGGUUGUUUUUGCCCACUAAUGAGGACAAACCGGUUUAUCUGGUUUCUGAUAGUUCACUAUCAGUGUUAGCUUUCCUUUUAUCACAAGAAGACUUUGUAGCAAAAGUGUUAAUGUAUGGUAGUGCGUCAGUAGCUGAGGAGGUGUGUCACUUGAACCGCUGGGACCAAUGUUCCCUCCCUCUCAAUACACUGGAGACUGAACUCUAACUGAGGCAGUUGGACAUAGUGUCAUUCUUCCUUAGGAACAGAGGUAAAGGAUAUACUAU